rnacentral:rRNA from 2 species
UGNUGCUGGNNCUCCUUAGAUCAUGCCAGNCNCUCAGGACAGAUGGGAGCUUGCUCCCUGAUNUUAGCGGCGGACGGGUGAGUAACACGUGGGUAACCUGCCUGUAAGACUGGGAUAACUCCGGGAAACCGGGGCUAAUACCGGAUGGUUGUUUGAACCGCAUGGUUCAAACAUAAAAGGUGGCUUCGGCUACCACUUACAGAUGGACCCGCGGCGCAUUAGCUAGUUGGUGAGGUAACGGCUCACCAAGGCNACGAUGCGUAGCCGACCUGAGAGGGUGAUCGGCCACACUGGGACUGAGACACGGCCCAGACUCCUACGGGAGGCAGCAGUAGGGAAUCUUCCGCAAUGGACGAAAGUCUGACGGAGCAACGCCGCGUGAGUGAUGAAGGUUUUCGGAUCGUAAAGCUCUGUUGUUAGGGAAGAACAAGUACCGUUCGAAUAGGGCGGUACCUUGACGGUACCUAACCAGAAAGCCACGGCUAACUACGUGCCAGCAGCCGCGGUAAUACGUAGGUGGCAAGCGUUGUCCGGAAUUAUUGGGCGUAAAGGGCUCGCAGGCGGUUUCUUAAGUCUGAUGUGAAAGCCCCCGGCUCAACCGGGGGAGGGUCAUUGGAAACUGGGGAACUUGAGUGCAGAAGAGGAGAGUGGAAUUCCACGUGUAGCGGUGAAAUGCGUANAGAUGUGGAGGAACACCAGUGGCGAAGGCNACUCUCUGGUCUGUAACUGACNCUGAGGA